rnacentral:misc_RNA from 1 species
GAUCCUGGCAGUGGUUCUGAUUAAGGAGAAUGGCUUUCAACUCCUGGCAGCUCAAGCAUCCUGUCGGGACCUCUCUCACCGGUUCUAAUGGUGGUUUCCGGCAAGAAGAGAGAGAAAUGGGUUUGGCAGUAGGUUUCCAGUCACUUUUCCAGCGAUCCUCCCUUCGGAUCGGAAAUCCGAGACCACCGAUGGACUCAGGGCGACGAAAUCUUCAAAAUAGAAUAUGUGAUCGGACACCGUUUGAAAAAGGCG